rnacentral:tRNA from 36 species
GCGCCCUUAGCUCAGUUGGAUAGAGCAACGGCCUUCUAAGCCGUGGGUCGCAGGUUCGAAUCCUGCAGGGCGUGCCA